UGCAAGUCGAACGAAGUAGCAAUACUUAGUGGCAGACGGGUGAGUAACAUGUAGGUAUCUUCCCUUUGGUGAGGAAUAACACGAGGAAACUUGUGCUAAUACCUCAUAAGUCUUUACGGAGAAAGCUUUAUGCGCCAAUGGAUGAGCCUGCACUUGAUUAGUUUGUUGGUGGGGUAAUGGCCUACCAAGACAAUGAUCAAUAGCUGAUUUGAGAGGAUGAUCAGCCACAUUGGGACUGAGACACGGCCCAAACUCCUACGGGAGGCAGCAGUAGGGAAUCUUGCACAAUGGGGGGAACCCUGAUGCAGCGAUGCCGCGUGAGUGAAGAAGGCCUUUGGGUUGUAAAGCUCUUUCGUCGGGGAAGAAAAUGACUGUACCCGAAUAAGAAGGUCCGGCUAACUUCGUGCCAGCAGCCGCGGUAAUACGAAGGGACCUAGCGUAGUUCGGAAUUACUGGGCUUAAAGAGUUCGUAGGUUGUUAAAAAAGUUGGUGGUGAAAUCCCAGAGCUUAACUCUGGAACUGCCAUCAAAACUUUUUAGCUAGAGUAUGAUAGAGGAAUGCAGAAUUUCUAGUGUAGAGGUGAAAUUCGUAGAUAUUAGAAAGAAUACCAAUUGCGAAGGCAGCUUUCUGGAUCAUUACUGACACUGAGGAACGAAAGCAUGGGUAGCGAAGAGGAUUAGAUACCCUCGUAGCCCAUGCCGUAAACGAUGUGUGUUAGACGUUGGAAAUUUAUUUUCAGUGUCGCAGCGAAAGCAAUAAACACACCGCCUGGGGAGUACGACCGCAAGGUUAAAACUCAAAUGAAUUGACGGGGACCCGCACAAGUAGUGGAGCAUGUGGUUUAAUUCGAAGAUACGCGCAGAACCUUACCAACACUUGACAUGUUCGUCGCGACUUUAAGAGAUUAAAGUUUUCGGUUCGGCCGGACGAAACACAGGUGCUGCAUGGCUGUCGUCAGCUCGUAUCG
rnacentral:rRNA from 1 species